GACGAACGCUGGCGGCGUGCUUAACACAUGCAAGUCGAACGGAAAGGCCCUGCUUGCAGGGUCCUCGAGUGGCGAACGGGUGAGUAACACGUGGGUGCUCUGCCCUGCACUUCGGGAUACGCGUGGGAAACUGGGUCUAAUACCGAAUCGGCGCCAUGUUUAGUGUGAGGGUUGGAAAGUUAUUUCGGUGUAGGAUGAGCUGACGGCCGAUUAGCUUGUUGGUGGGGUAAUGGCCUACCAAGGCGGCGACGGGUAGCCGGUCUGAGAGGAUGAGCAGCCACACUGGGACUGAGCCACGGCCCAGACUCCUACGGGAGGCAGCAGUGGGGAAUUUUGGACAAAGGGCGAAAGCCUGAUCCAGCAAUGCCGCGUGUGUGAUGAAGGCCUUCGGGUUGUAAAGCACUUUUGGCGGGAACGAAAAGGACUGUGCCAAUACCACGGUUCGAUGACGGUACCCGCAGAAUAAGCACCGGCUAACUACGUG
rnacentral:rRNA from 1 species